GACGAACGCUGGCGGCGUGCUUAACACAUGCAAGUCGAACGGAAAGGCCCUGCUUUUGUGGGGUGCUCGAGUGGCGAACGGGUGAGUAACACGUGAGUAACCUGCCCUUGACUUUGGGAUAACAUCAGGAAACUGGGGCUAAUACCGGAUAGGAGCUCCUGCUGCAUGGUGGGGGUUGGAAAGUUUCGGCGGUUUGGGAUGGACUCGCGGCUUAUCAGCUUGUUGGUGGGGUAGUGGCUUACCAAGGCUUUGACGGGUAGCCGGCCUGAGAGGGUGACCGGCCACAUUGGGACUAAGGUACGGCCCAGACUCCUACGGGAGGCAGCAGUGGGGAAUAUUGCACAGUGGGCGGAAGCCUGAUGCAGCAACGCCGCGUGCGGGAUGACGGCCUUCGGGUGAUAAACCGCUGUCGCCUGUGACGAAGCGUGAGUGACGGUAAUGGGUAAAGAAGCACCGGCUAACUACGUG
rnacentral:rRNA from 1 species